rnacentral:tRNA from 1 species
GCCCAGAUGGCGAAAUUGGUAGACGCGCAGGUUUCAGGGAUCUGUGCUGUAAAGCGUGGAGGUUCGAGUCCUCUUCUGGGCACCA